GCGGGUAUGGUUCAACUGGUAGAGCAGAGGCCCUCCAAGCCUAUGACGAGAGUUCGAGUCUCUCUACCCGCUCCA
rnacentral:tRNA from 1 species